CUUCCGCUCUCCCCGCACAGGAGGGUGGAUCGAGGUACCCGCGCUCUCUGCCCUGACUGCGCAGGCACCUCUCCCCGGCCGGGGGCACCGCACACCGCCGGCCGAGCAACUCAGGGCUGCGGUGCCGGACGGGCUGAGGGUCCCGUCCCGGCGC
rnacentral:ncRNA from 1 species